rnacentral:lncRNA from 1 species
GAGACAUGCAAUUAGGAUGUGAAGUGGGUAAAUAGAGAUGUGUGCUUAAAUCACCAUUUCUAUCAUACAUAGAUUGUUUGCUCUGCUGUGUGCUUAAAUCACUAUUUAUAUCAUGCAAGGAUGUGUUGUACCAUUGUAAUUACUAUCAUAGCAUCACUUUAUAAACUAUUACAAUUUAUUUGCAUGGCGACAAAAAAUUUGAUUUUGCUAUUUUGUAACUAUGAUACUUCACUAUCAAUAAAGCUACAACUCCUUGUAUUUACCAAAAAAGGAAGACAUAAUAUCUUCUUUCAAUAAUUCCACUUCUAAAUAAUAAUUAUUUCAAUUCUAAAAUUGUUUUAGUAGAGAGAGGGAGCCAUGCUUCUCUUCUUUGUCUUAGUAUAGAAGGGC